rnacentral:rRNA from 1 species
AUUGAACGCUGGCGGCAUGCCUUACACAUGCAAGUCGAACGGCAGCAUGGCGUGUAGCAAUACACGUUGAUGGCGAGUGGCGAACGGGUGAGUAAUAUAUCGGAACAUGUCCUGUAGCGGGGGAUAACCUAUCGAAAGAUGGACUAAUACCGCAUACGCUCCACGGAGGAAAGCGGGGGUCGCAAGACCUCGCACUAUAGGAGUGGCCGAUAUCGGAUUAGCUAGUUGGCGGGGUAAUGGCCCACCAAGGCGACGAUCCGUAGCUGGUCUGAGAGGAUGAUCAGCCACACUGGGACUGAGACACGGCCCAGACUCCUACGGGAGGCAGCAGUGGGGAAUUUUGGACAAUGGGCGCAAGCCUGAUCCAGCCAUGCCGCGUGCGGGAAGAAGGCC